rnacentral:rRNA from 1 species
UACAGGGGGGGCAAGCGUUGUUCGGAAUUACUGGGCGUAAAGGGCCAGUAGGCGGCCAACUAAGUCACACGUGAAAUCCCCGGGCUUAACCCGGGAACUGCGUGUGAUACUGGAUGGUUUGAAUUCGGGAGAGGGAUGCAGAAUUCCAGGUGUAGCGGUGAAAUGCGUAGAUAUCUGGAGGAAUACCGGUGGCGAAGGCGGCAUCCUGGACCGACAUUGACGCUGAACGGCGAAAGCUAGGGGAGCAAACGGG